rnacentral:lncRNA from 1 species
GCAGGAGCUGGAUCCGGCUUCCGGAAGGUGAGGGCCGGAGGGCAGGGGCUAGGCAGGCGCGGACGCUCCGUCCCGACCUCACGCGUGACACUGUGAGGGCCAGACGCCAGCCCCCGCGCCGCCCCCUGUGCCUUUGAGGUUGGGCCCGUUCUCAGACUCCAUCUCCGGCCGGGCCGCGCGCCCCGCGCCCUCGUGGGCUGGUGUCUCGCAGCUGGAGCUGGUGAGCAGGCUGCUGCACCUGCACUUCAAGGAUGACAAGACCAAAGUGAGCGGGGACGCGCUGCAGCUCAUGGUGGAGUUGCUGAAGGUCUUCGUUGUGGGUGAGCCCAGGGCCCACGCUCCCUCCGGGCACAGCAUCCGGAAUUUUGCGUUUUUCCAGCGGGAAAACCAAGACGUGUUUUCCCGUUUCCCACAAGGGCCUAAACUUGGGUCUCCUGAGCCUGUUUGUCAGAAGCAGCAGUCCGCGGCGUGCGGCAGGCCCAGGCAGAAGACGCGCUCCGUGUGGACGUGGACCAGCUGGAGAAGGUGCUUCCGCAGCUGCUCCUGGACUUCUAGGGAUCUCAGCCGUGGCUGAGGCCACCCCCAGAGGAGCCCCUGGUCCACAGAAGCAGGCCUUGUGUUUCCAGCGGCCUCUGAUAAGAGGCAGGGAAGGACCUGAAGGAUUUGGAGUUGAUUCAAACAAGAUCUCUGGGAGUCUCCAGCCUGUGCAGAAGGGGCAGGACUGCAGUGCACUGCGGGCCUUGGAGUGUCCAGUGGGGACACUGGUGUGGGAAGGGGCAGCACCUGGGGAGUCCCUGCCUCUCCUCCCUGGGACAAUAGUGUGCAUGCCACCCGGGGUCCUACAGGCAGGUGCUGGGAAAGGCCUGGCCAGCAGGUAGCCUGUGUGUUUGACAA